GACAUAAUUUCUUCCUUUCGCCGAUGAGGUUACAAGCAAAAUUAACGAGUCAAAGAUGGAUACGGAGUACGCGUGCGGGGGGAGGGGCGGCCAGUGCGUUUAGGAAUCUUGUUUUUAGUACACUUUACUAAUAUCUAUAAAGCUAUUUACUAUUUACGGAAAUAAGAAUAAAACUCAUAAGAAUAAGAAAGGGACUUGUUAUUACAAGAUUACCAAGUAUAGAAAUCAGAAUUGACUUAUAAUUAUUAAUACUCAUUUGUAGCCACCGAUUUCAAUAAAUCACAUUUGUAUUAUCUAGUAAUCUUUGCGUACUGUAACUAUUAUUUUAUUUAUUUAUUUAAUCUUUAUUGCACAAAAGAAAACCUUAUAGUACAAAAGGCGGACUUAAUGCCAUAAGGCAUUCUCUACCAGUCAACCUUAAGGCUAAGCAGAGAGAUUGUGAGCGGUGCUACAAUUACAACAGCAAAAACAAUCAA